UCACCUGGGGAUCUUGUUAAAAGGCAGAUUCUGAUUCAGUGGCCCUAAGGUGGGUCAUGGUAUCUGCUGUUCCCAAG
ensembl:miRNA